AUACGAAGGGGGCAAGCGUUGUUCGGAAUAACUGGGCGUAAAGCGCACGUAGGCGGAUUGAUCAGUUAGAGGUGAAAUCCCAGGGCUCAACCCUGGAACUGCCUUUAAUACUGUCAGUCUAGAGAUCGAGAGAGGUGAGUGGAAUUCCGAGUGUAGGGGUGAAAUUCGUAGAUAGUCGGAGGAACACCAGUGGCGAAGGCGGCUCACUGGCUCGAUACUGACGCUGAGGUGCGAAAGCGUGGGGAGCAAACAGGAUUAGAAACCCGGGUAGUCC
rnacentral:rRNA from 1 species